rnacentral:tRNA from 1 species
GGGGAUUUAGCUCAGUGGUAGAGCACUUGCCUAGCAAGCACAAGACCCUGGGUUCGGUCCCUAGCUCCG